CUGGGCUCUCCUCGUCCUAAUUCUGAAGUCUGGGAAUCUGAUUGGCCCAGCCUGGCCUCUGCAGUGGUUCCCUCCAAGGCAGGUGCCCACCUCUGGCCAGUCAGCUGGACGAGGAGGGGCUGGAUGUAUACAACAAAGAUGGGCCUCGUUCUCCUUCACUGCCCACGUUGGGGUCAAAUCGACACUAAUGGACUAAGCAGGUCAGCAAAUUUGAACUUCAGGGGCAACUGGUCUCCCUUCCAAGAUGCGGAUAUUGAGGUCCCCAGAGGAAGAAUCACAUGUCCAAACUCAGAUGGGCUGAUGGAAGGGAAUUAAUGUUUCCCCGAGAACCUGCUACGAGCCAGGCCCGUUCCAUACAAGAACCUCCUUUCCACAGCCCAGCAAGACGCCUUGUUCAUGUUUUCCCCAUUUUACAGAGGAGCCGACCAAAACCCAAACCGGUGAAGGCACAUGCCUGGCGUCCCAGGACUAGUAAGCCCCGAACCAAGAUGUGAGCGUGGAUUUGCCGGGCUCCAGGUCCUGCUAUGCCCCCCUCCCCUCCGUGGUAAAGGCAAGGAAGCAGAGACUCAGAAAGGUUCAAGCUGGGCCAGGGUCAAGUGGCAACGCUUGCUUUCCACCUGGGCCUAACUCCAGAAGUCUUGCCUUUCCUGUGAAACUACAUCAUCUCAAUAAGUUUUGUCGUGAGUAACUGACUGAUACCAAAUGACCACAAAUAUGACUCAAAGACAUACAGACCCAGGACCGAAAGGGACAUGAAUUUUAUUACUGCCACUGUUGACCCUCUUCUUCAUCGCGAAUGUAGGACGGCCGGCAUGGACAUUGUAUGGCUCAGACAUGCCGAAAUAAGACUUGAUUGCUUCUACAACUGAGCCCGACUUGAUCACAGCAACCUUCCCCCCAGUUUUCUUUUUGGGUGAAAGUGGAUUCUCUGCACAACAAUACAAUGCAUGAUCCUGCAUUUUCUUUUGUUACAAAGGACGUUUGCGGGCAACCAGUAAAAUCGGAAGUCAGCCUGUAGCUUAGAUAAUAGUACUGUAGAAUAGUGAUUCCCCAAUUUUAGUAAUUGUUCUGUGGGCAUGUAAGAGGCUGUCCUUGUUUUUAAGAAAUACACGUUGAAGUAGUUAGGAGUAAAGAGGUAUCGUGUCUGUAACUUUUAAAUAUUUCAGAAAAAAACUAUAUAUGCACCCCAGAAAAAUACGCAGAAGGGUAAAACAAAUGUGGUAACAUGUUAUCAUUUGGGGAAUUGGGGUGAAGAAGGGUAUCUUGGAAUUCUUUGCACUAUUUUUGUAACUUUUCUAUAAACCUGAAAUGGUGUCAAAAGCAAAAAAUUUAAAUAAAAAAAUGUAUUCUUGUUCAGUGCGGGGGCCGGGGAGGGGGAGUUGAAUUAGGAUCCAAACUCUGUAUUAGAAUUGCUCCAUCUCUUGGUGGUGCCCACUCCCCACCCCUCAGGAUGACAUCUGGUAGCAGAGCCUUCUGUGACAUCGGGGGCCUGGGCUUCUGGGCUUGCUGGCCCUGCUGGCUGCCUUGCCCUUUUGGGUCUCUGGGGUCAGCCUCACUCCCCAUCACUUCUCUGCUGGCAUAGCUGGUCCAGCCUGGCUCUGGGCCCUGAGCGUGACUUUGCAGUCAUGACCUCUUGGUGUCAAGGCUGUGCCCUCUGAGCCCUUCUCAUCCUGACCCCAAGGCUCUCACAAUCCAUGUCUUAUCAGUGUUCGGAUACGCCCCACUGGAAACUUCUGAUGCUUACCAUGACCCACAAAGGGCUUAGGGGAGUCAGGCCCCCUGUGAGUCAGUCCCAUCAGGAAAACGGAAAUCACAUUGGCUGUUUUCUUAAUAUAAGGAAUUGGCUAAACGGUAUUGGACAAGUGGAAAACCAAACAGUGAGAUAUCAGAGGUAUAACUGCAGGAAACAGAUACCGCCCCUCAGGAUGGGAAGACAGAAGAAGAAGCUGAGAUUAUUAGAACGUAGAAACUGGAGCCCCGACCCCUGACGAGGGCACGCCUCUGGACGGUGCUGAUACUUCCAACAGGCCUCAGUGAGGCUGGUUCUGGGAAUGUGUAAACCAGUUGUUACUGGAACCAGUUGCCACUGCCAGGGUGAAGGGCUGCUGGGAGGUGACGCUGCCACAAGGAAGAGCGAGCAAAAAGCCUCCAAUCCUCUGCCCUGCAUCCAGUCUUGAGCUCUCUAGUGCCCCCUAUGGACACAGUCUGCCAUGGCAACAAAUGUCUCGGGACAGAAGAGAGAUGUGGGUUUGGGGUUAAGAGCUCACAGUUUAUGGGACGCCUGGGUGGCUCAGUGGGUUAAGCGUCUGCCUUCGGCUCAGGUCAUGAUCCCAGGGUCUUCGGAUGGAGCCCCGCUUCAGGCUCUCUGCAG